rnacentral:rRNA from 1 species
AACGAACGCUGGCGGCAGGCUUAACACAUGCAAGUCGAGCGCCCCGCAAGGGGAGCGGCAGACGGGUGAGUAACGCGUGGGAAUCUACCCAUCUCUACGGAACAACUCCGGGAAACUGGAGCUAAUACCGUAUACGUCCUUCGGGAGAAAGAUUUAUCGGAGAUGGAUGAGCCCGCGUUGGAUUAGCUAGUUGGUGGGGUAAUGGCCUACCAAGGCGACGAUCCAUAGCUGGUCUGAGAGGAUGAUCAGCCACACUGGGACUGAGACACGGCCCAGACUCCUACGGGAGGCAGCAGUGGGGAAUAUUGGACAAUGGGCGCAAGCCUGAUCCAGCCAUGCCGCGUGAGUGAUGAAGGCCCUAGGGUUGUAAAGCUCUUUCAACGGUGAAGAUAAUGACGGUAACCGUAGAAGAAGCCCCGGCUAACUUCGUGCCAGCCGCCGCGGUAAUAC